GUGUGUUCUCAUAUUUGCCACCUCUCUCUUUCUCUUUGGUUGCUUUCAUUUCUUUAUUUAUUUUAUCCUCUCACUUUCUCUCUACAGUUCUCAGAUGAUCAUGGCCUCUGCCUAUAUCUCCCGUGGGCUUCCACCUUUCCACUCACAGACCUAUCUCCUCUCUUUUACUUCUCCUGAAGCCACCAGGUUCAGCAUCAUGCUGCAUGACUCCCUUCUUUGUGAUCUUUGAAAAAGUAGGGCAGCAUGCUGAUUCUUUGAUAUGGCUUGAGGAAGUAGGAAGGAGGAAUUAGGGUUUGGACUUGGCAACUGUUUCUUCAGCACAUCCCAAGGGAAGUGAAGAAUCCUGCUAGGGUUCUCAUUCUACUGUUUGAAGAACACUUUCUCUAGAUUCUCUCUCUCUCUCUUUUUCUCUCCACAACAAAGUACUACUAUAUAUCCUUUAGAUCAAGAGAAAAUCACUUAUUGUUUGAGCACAAGAUCUUUGAAGUUGGACAUGCAAGGAAAAUUUCCGUUUCUUUGCCACUUAAUACCCUAAAACGAGUUCUAGUCCUACAAAAUGCAAUAGUGCAAGUCUUCUCUUAAAGUCUUGCUUUGAUCAUUAUAUUUAAUUAUCUAAGUACAAGUUGCUUAUUUCAACUAAUGGACUUAAUUAGUGUUACAAAAUUCAUGGAAAAAAAGAGAAAUUAAGAGAAAAGAUUGAAGAAAAGUGUUUGAAAGAGCUUCCUUCAGUCCACUCACCGGAUGACUGUGGGUUUGAAUCAGCUGCCGACUCAUUCAUUCAAACACAAUGGUAGACCUUGAGCUACUAUGUGAACGAGUGAAUGAUGCGGGAGACUAUUCUCUCCCAACCAUUCCAUGCUUGGACUGAAGGGAGCUCCUUCUUCCCUAGCUUUCAAAUUCUAAAUUUCCCCCACACGUCUUGUGACUGUACAUCUACAAGGACCAACAAACUCACCGGGGUUCUCAAUUGCUCGGGACUUGAGCAAGAACACGGAGGUCUUUGUUUGCCUCAUGCAGUUGCUUUCUAGAAAUAUGUAACCAAUGAAUACAACUCCACGUACGUAGGUGGACAUGGGAGGCCACUCGUCUUUGGCUCUGCGUCAGAGUGCAUUGAUGGAGAAAGGUGGCGGUGGGGGAAGGCUGAUUCACAUAAUAUCACAUCGCAUCAGUCUUUAAAGUAUGAGGCCUGUUGUUUACUGCACUCGUGCAGUGUUUCAAAGGCAUGGAAAAAUGGAUAAAAGUGGUGGAUCUGAUGAAAAGGUUUUCAGAACGCUCCUCUCGUGCAUCGACAGUGGAAGAAGUACAGCCGAUGCGCAGGCGAAGGAAGUAGCCAAGUAGGAGGGCUGUUGCUUGGGAGUCGAGCAACGAGACGAGCGCCUCGAAAGGUGGAGAAACAUGCCGCAUUGGGGUUGCCGCUGCUGCCAGCCUUCAUGUAUGUGUUUUACACCGUCAUCAAACCACAAUUUUUUUUUUAUUAU